GUCUGGCCUGCUCACUGAUAAAUUUAAAUAGCCGCGGUAUAUUGACCGUGCAAAGGUAGCAUAAUCAUUAGUCUCUUAAUUAGGGGCUGGAAUGAAUGGCUUGACGAAAAAUCGACUGUCUCUUGAUAAAAUAUAAAAUUUAACUUUUGAGUUAAAAGGCUUAAAUUUUUUUUUAGGACGAGAAGACCCUAUAGAUCUUUACAUUUUAUUUAUAUAUAUAUUUUAGUU
rnacentral:rRNA from 1 species